rnacentral:rRNA from 1 species
UACGGAGGGUGCAAACGUUGCUCGGAAUCAUUGGGCGUAAAGCGCACGUAGGCGCCUGAUAAGUCGGGUGUGAAAGCCCUGGGCUCAACCCAGGAAGUGCACUCGAAACUGUCAGGCUUGAAUAUGGAAGAGGGUCGCGGAAUUCCCGGUGUAGAGGUGAAAUUCGUAGAUAUCGGGAGGAACACCAGUGGCGAAGGCGGCGACCUGGGCCAAUAUUGACGCUGAGGUGCGAAAGCGUGGGGAGCAAACAGG